UUUAUGUAUUUUUUUCCCCUAUUUUCCAAAAUCACAUUCACAACUCCUGAACCAGCAAUUGUACUGGAUCAGACCAGAUUGGAUGACUGUCUGGUUCAAUGAUGGUUUCAGUUUCAAUACAUUGAUGGUGUGUACUCAGUGGAUGAAUCACCACCAUUUAAGAAAUUUUGGUUAACACAGCAUUAUGGCCCUUUAAUAAAAGAGAGGAAUAUGCAGAAAACUUUAGUGGAUGCUGAUUACUGAAGUUUUGCAUAUCUUUACUCUUGUAUAUUUUGGCUCCAAGUAUAACUGAUGUAUUGAUGAUUUAAUUUAUUUUGCUUGCUCUUCGUUCACAGCCUCCUUUGAUUCCACUGGCUGCACAGCAAAUGUUGGGAGCGGCCCAAGCUGAUCAGAAAUGAAAUUAGUGGCCCCAUAGCAGGGAUGGCUUUCUCGCUUUAAACUAGGGAAUGAAGUUUGCCGAUUGUAUGUGUGGGACCCACAUAAUGGUUAAUCCCCUGUAUGGAAUUUGUCGACUCCAAACAAGACCAUGUCUUUUGAAACAUUUUAAGCUUGCUUUCAUGAUCUCAAUCAUGCGUGCAGUGUGGCUUUUUGUGUUCGUUUAUGCUUCUUCAUUGGUGCGGAGUUUCAGGCAUGGCAUGAAUAUUGAGUCUUGUUACCGGCAGUUGUUUAAAUGAGAUGCAUGCUAGUGUGCUCCUUUGCAAUGCUAUUUCCUGAAUGGGCAGGUGGUGCAUGUCAUCAGUGAGGCUUGGGCGUAUAGUCAUCCUAAACUUGCUUUUUCUUGAAGCUAUCAUUGCAUUAAUAGCAUGUGGGCCCCCUCUAUGAUAUGUUGAGGUGCUACUUGAUACCCUGGUGGAGCACGAGGCAUGCACUCAAAUGCUGUGCAUGUUGAGUACUUGUACAUUAAACCCAAAUCAUGGGCGCCACUGUGAUGGGUUUGUGUCCAAAAAUCAGGUUGACCGGAUGAUCCCAACCUCUGACUGAUGGACAUUUGUUUGUUGAAUUUAGAAUGUUGUCUGUUGCUCAUUGUAGCUGUCAUUUUGGCAGCCACUAAUUUGACAGUUACAAUGGUCCACCUACAGUUGGUCAACAGUUCAGACAGUUUGGGUGUAUUUAUGAGCAUGGAUCUUCACUCUGCUAGAGUAAUCAGUAUUCCCCCUUGGGCUUGGCUGAAGUAUCACUGUUAAUACAUGGUAAAUGAAUAUCUAUUGUAUGCAUGGCUGUAUUACCACUUUUUUAGUGCAGAAUUAUUGGAUGCCUA